CUGCCCCUCACUUAAUCUGCUUAUUAAAAGCAUUUGCCCAAUUUUUCUGAUGUUGCAGCCCCCUCCACUCAUCUGCUUCACUGCUUUCUCCAAGGGACUUCCUUUCUCAAAGAAAGUAAUUUCUUUGCACUUUUUGGCCUCAGCUUCUGGAGUUCUGUGUUUUUUGCUGUGCGCCCAAGUGUUUUAAGAAGGAGUAAAUAUUCCAUAUGAAGGAAAAGGGGAAUUACAUGCUCCCAUGGGCUUCAGGCAAAAAAGAAAAAUUUAAAAAGUGCAACUGCUUGGGAAGUCUCAUCAUUUUAGGUCAUUUGUGUUACCUUGGCAUUUCCAGUCUCCUCCUGCGAUGGUGGAGGUGUUUUGCCCUGCGCUUUGAUUGCCCUCACCCCUGGAUGUCUGUGGGACGGUUCCAGGCCCCACUGUCACCCACCUCCUGUCCUCUGCUGUCACCGCCUGGGUGUGCGGUGGCCACGCUGGCUCACUGGGCCAAUAAAAGCGAGGCUGUCCAGGUGGAUGGGCACAGGUGUCCCCUGCUGUCCUCAGCUGUCACCCCGCUGCCACUCGGCCCCGUCCAGGGACCCGCCUGGCACGCUCAGCCCGUGCGGGGACAGCCGGACUCUGCCCCGGGGCUGCCCCUGCAUCUCCCGAACACCUCCCAUGUGACUCCGGGAAAGAGGCUUUGGCCACACCUGUGCUACUCACAGCUGUCUUCGUCUGUCAGCAGGAAGCAGGGAGGAAAGAAACCAGGGCAGGAAGGAGAGAAAAGGAGGAAGAAAAGAGAGCAGGAAGGGGAGGACAGGAGGAAGAGAGAGAGAGGGAGAGGUAACGAGGCUGCAUUCAGCAGUGAGGAGCAGAGUGGCCGAUAUCGCCCUGCCAGAAGCUUCCAAUGUCCUCCUCAACCUCCACCAGCGCUUUGCCCAGCGGCCUGGCGGUGCUGACGACCUUCCCAGAUGUGCUCUUCAUCCCUGAAAUCAUCUUUGGGGGCCUUGUGUGGAUCCUGGUGGCAUCCUCGGAGGUUCCAGACCCCAUGCUGCAAGGCUGGGUGAUGUUUGUCUCCGUGUUCUGCUUCGUCAUGUCCAUCUUGCUCCUGUGCCUCUACCUCUGUGGGGCUCACGGCGGCGGCGGCUGCUGGGUCACCUUGGAUGUCAUCUGCCAGGGGACAGCAGCGCUGUUCUACCUCAGCGCCGCUGUGCUGGAAGCCUACCUGACCUACGCCCUUGGAGUGCUGCUCCCGGGACAGAAGUACAGGGAGAACAUUGCUGCUGUGGUAUUUGCAUUCGUGGCCACCCUGGUUUAUGUGAUCCACAAGGUGUUCUCGCUCCUGAGGUGGAAAUCAUCCUGAACAACCCCAGGAACAACGACUGCCAUCUCCAGGCUGGUUUCUGAAAAUGCCUUCUCUGACUUGCGAUGAGCAGUGGGGACAAUAUUUAACUUGGCUCAGGAGCAACGUGGAUCCUUGCAGCUCCUGAAGGGUGCUGCUGAAUUCUGAGGCACGACCAGGAAUUACCACUGCCUUUGAUCCCCCUACGAAGCACAACCUGGAAGGGGCCCAGUAGGCUGUAGGAGAAUUCUUUGGGUGAUCAGAAUCAAAUCCUCAAUAAGCAGAGGCAAUCAACUCCUGCUUUUGGUGAAUGGCUGCUCGCUCACACACUGCCAUGGUGUCACUAAUAAAGAUGGGUUUGCUGUGAUUUGGAGAACGGUUUCCCAAGAACUUGUGAAAGGAACAUGGGAGCUCUCGAUUACAAACCAUCUUCUGGAACGGAG